AUUGAACGCUGGCGGCAUGCUUUACACAUGCAAGUCGAACGGUAACAGCACUUCGGUGGCUGACGAGUGGCGAACGGGUGCGUAAUACAUCGGAACGUGCCUAGUAGUGGGGGAUAACUACUCGAAAGAGUAGCUAAUACCGCAUGAGAUCUAAGGAUGACAGCAGGGGACCUUCGGGCCUUGCGCUACUAGAGCGGCUGAUGGCAGAUUAGGUAGUUGGUGGGAUAAAAGCUUACCAAGCCGACGAUCUGUAGCUGGUCUGAGAGGACGACCAGCCACACUGGGACUGAGACACGGCCCAGACUCCUACGGGAGGCAGCAGUGGGGAAUUUUGGACAAUGGGCGCAAGCCUGAUCCAGCAAUGCCGCGUGCAGGAUGAAGGCCUUCGGGUUGUAAACUGCUUUUGUACGGAACGAAAAGCCCUCUUCUAAUACAGGAGGGUCAUGACGGUACCGUAAGAAUAAGCACCGGCUAACUACGUG
rnacentral:rRNA from 1 species